AGCUGCACGUAUAACACAUAACUUAGAAGCAGCGCCACAGAUGUACCAACACACACGAGAUUGAAACAUAACCGACCUCACACACUUCUCAUGAGGAAUUCCGGAAGAAGCUUUGUGAGACCACUACUGAGACGCUUCCGAAAAAAAGAAAACCGUUGGAAAACAGUUUAUAGCAGAGACUCCAUCUAAGAAGAUCUGAAGAAGGAACUGUAAUUCCGAAAUAUCAUCGGACUAUAGAUAACCAAAUUACAACAGCAACCUUGUCAAUGGAUGUUGACUCUUGGAAGAAAACCUGCGCCGUGAGGACCAAAGACUUGAGAUGCAUCUCAGCAGUGGUCUCUCGAAGCUCCUUUUGGAAUUCCUCAUGAGAAGUGUGUGAUGUCGGCCAUGUCGCAAUCUCGUGUGCUGGUACAUCUGUAGCACUGCUUCUAUGUUAUGUAUAAUACAUGCAGCUUCCUUUUUUUUUCCUUUAUAUAUAUAUAUAUAUAUAUAUACAGGCAACUGUGCAAGUAAAUAAAUUAAGACACAUCAGAUAUUUCAAAUAUAUUAAAUAUAUUAUUUUGUUUGGGGAUUUGGUUUGCAAGAUUCUUUAUGUGAGUUCGUGUGUUGAAGCAUAUUCUGUUAUGUCUGGGGAGUGUCUCUUUUUUUUGUGCCUUAUAAUUUAAGACACUCACCGGUAAAAUUUCCACUUAUUCCUUAUUUUUAUCUUCCUAAAAUUUUUGUUGCGUCUUGAAACCUUUUCAAUAGUCUUGACUCUUAAAUUUCUUAAAUGUUUUUUCAAUAUAUAGGUAUUUAUAUUAAUACACAGACUAUAAAUGACAGAAAAAAUUAAACGAGUGGAAGAGAAGUGUUAUAAGCCCAACAGCUGUUUCUGGGGUCUUGGCAAUCCAUAAUAAUGUUGGUAGAUUUAGUUCAUCACAAUAAGCUGCCAUAUGGAUGCAGUUAACAUUGAAUGAUAUGACCCUCCAUCAACAGGGUAGAGAAGAUAUUACGUUUCAGAUCUUAAGGCAAAGAAUUUAAUUUUCUGUCAUUUUACUCUGUGUAAGUUGCAUCUAUCAAUAUAAAUAGGUACAUAUUUAUAAAUAAAAAUUCCUCACCUGAAAGUU